rnacentral:rRNA from 1 species
UUUAUGGAGAGUUUGAUCCUGGCUCAGGAUGAACGCUGGCGGCGUGCCUAAUACAUGCAAGUCGAGCGAACGGACGAGAAGCUUGCUUCUCUGAUGUUAGCGGCGGACGGGUGAGUAACACGUGGAUAACCUACCUAUAAGACUGGGAUAACUUCGGGAAACCGGAGCUAAUACCGGAUAAUAUUUUGAACCGCAUGGUUCAAAAGUGAAAGACGGUCUUGCUGUCACUUAUAGAUGGAUCUGCGCUGCAUUAGCUAGUUGGUAAGGUAACGGCUUACCAAGGCAACGAUGCAUAGCCGACCUGAGAGGGUGAUCGGCCACACUGGAACUGAGACACGGUCCAGACUCCUACGGGAGGCAGCAGUAGGGAAUCUUCCGCAAUGGGCGAAAGCCUGACGGAGCAACGCCGCGUGAGUGAUGAAGGUCUUCGGAUCGUAAAACUCUGUUAUUAGGGAAGAACAUAUGUGUAAGUAACUGUGCACAUCUUGACGGUACCUAAUCAGAAAGCCACGGCUAACUACGUGCCAGCAGCCGCGGUAAUACGUAGGUGGCAAGCGUUAUCCGGAAUUAUUGGGCGUAAAGCGCGCGUAGGCGGUUUUUUAAGUCUGAUGUGAAAG